GAUGAACGCUAGCUACAGGCUUAACACAUGCAAGUCGAGGGGAAACGACAUUGAAGCUUGCUUCGAUGGUCGUCGACCGGCGCACGGGUGAGUAACGCGUAUCCAACCUGCCUCUGACCAAGGUAUAACCCGUCGAAAGUCGGCCUAAUACCUUAUGCAGUCGUCGGAAGUCCUCUGAUGACGACGAAAGAUUUCAUCGGUGAGAGAUGGGGAUGCGUCUGAUUAGCUUGUUGGCGGGGUACCGGCCCACCAAGGCAACGCUCAGUAGGGGUUCUGAGAGGAAGGGCCCCGAGAGGGGAACUGAGACACGGGCGAAACGCCUACGGGAGGCAGCAGUGAGGAAGAUUGGUCAAUGGGCGAGAGCCUGAACCAGCCAAGUAGGGUGCAGGAUGACGGCGCGAUGGGUUGUAAACUGCUUUUAGGCGGGGAUAAAGUGAGGGACGGGUCCUUCAUUGAAGGUACCGGAUGAAUAAGGACCGGCUAAUUCCGUG
rnacentral:rRNA from 1 species